GUGCUUUGGCAGUGCAUACACUAAAAUUGGAAUGACAUAGAGAAGAUUAGAAUGGCCCCUGUGCAAGGAUGACAUGCAAAUUCAUGAAGCAUUCCACAUUUUA